rnacentral:rRNA from 1 species
GUCGAGCGGUAACACAGAGGAGCUUGCUCCUUGGGUGACGAGCGGCGGACGGGUGAGUAAAGUCUGGGGAUCUGCCUGAUGGAGGGGGAUAACUACUGGAAACGGUAGCUAAUACCGCAUGACGUCUUCGGACCAAAGUGGGGGACCUUCGGGCCUCACGCCAUGAGAUGAACCCAGAUGGGAUUAGCUGGUAGGUGAGGUAACGGCUCACCUAGGCGACGAUCCCUAGCUGGUCUGAGAGGAUGACCAGCCACACUGGAACUGAGACACGGUCCAGACUCCUACGGGAGGCAGCAGUGGGGAAUAUUGCACAAUGGGGGAAACCCUGAUGCAGCCAUGCCGCGUGUGUGAAGAAGGCCUUCGGGUUGUAAAGCACUUUCAGCGGGGAGGAAGGCAAUAAACUUAAUAAGUUUGUUGAUUGACGUUACCCGCAGAAGAAGCACCGGCUAACUCCGUGCCAGCAGCCGCGGUAAUACGGAGGGUGCAAGCGUUAAUCGGAAUGACUGGGCGUAAAGCGCACGCAGGCGGUCUGUUAAGUUGGAUGUGAAAUCCCCGGGCUCAACCCGGGAACAGCAUUCAAAACUGACAGGCUAGAGUCUCGUAGAGGGGGGUAGAAUUCCAGGUGUAGCGGUGAAAUGCGUAGAGAUCUGGAGGAAUACCGGUGGCGAAGGCGGCCCCCUGGACGAAGACUGACGCUCAGGUGCGAAAGCGUGGGGAGCAAACAGGAUUAGAUACCCUGGUAGUCCACGCCGUAAACGAUGUCGACUUGGAGGCUGUGGUCUUGAACCGUGGCUUCCGGAGCUAACGCGUUAAGUCGACCGCCUGGGGAGUACGGCCGCAAGGUUAAAACUCAAAUGAAUUGACGGGGGCCCGCACAAGCGGUGGAGCAUGUGGUUUUAAUUCGAUGCAACGCGAAGAACCUUACCUACUCUUGACAUCCAGAGAAGACUGUAGAGAUACGGUUGUGCCUUCGGGAGCUCUGAGACAGGUGCUGCAUGGCUGUCGUCAGCUCGUGUUGUGAAAUGUUGGGUUAAGUCCCGCAACGAGCGCAACCCUUAUCCUUUGUUGCCAGCGAUACGGUCGGGAACUCAAAGGAGACUGCCGGUGAUAAACCGGAGGAAGGUGGGGAUGACGUCAAGUCAUCAUGGCCCUUACGAGUAGGGCUACACACGUGCUACAAUGGCGCAUACAAAGAGAAGCGAGCCUGCGAGGGUGAGCGGACCUCAUAAAGUGCGUCGUAGUCCGGAUUGGAGUCUGCAACUCGACUCCAUGAAGUCGGAAUCGCUAGUAAUCGUAGAUCAGAAUGCUACGGUGAAUACGUUCCCGGGCCUUGUACACACCGCCCGUCACACCAUGGGAGUGGGUUGCAAAAGAAGUAGGUAGCUUAACCUUA